rnacentral:rRNA from 1 species
CAGUCGCCGCGGGAAUACGUAGGUGGCAAGCGUUGUCCGGAAUUAUUGGGCGUAAAGGGCUCGCAGGCGGUUUCUUAAGUCUGAUGUGAAAGCCCCCGGCUCAACCGGGGAGGGUCAUUGGAAACUGGGAAACUUGAGUGCAGAAGAGGAGAGUGGAACUCCACGUGUAGCGGUGAAAUGCGUAGAGAUGUGGAGGAACACCAGUGGCGAAGGCGACUCUCUGGUCUGUAACUGACGCUGAGGAGCGAAAGCGUGGGGAGCGAACAGGAUUAGAUACCCCUGUAGUCCCUGUCUCUUAUAA